rnacentral:rRNA from 1 species
CCUACGGGGGGCAGCAGUGGGGAAUAUUGCACAAUGGGCGAAAGCCUGAUGCAGCAACGCCGCGUGAGCGAUGAAGGUCUUCGGAUCGUAAAGCUCUGUCCUCAAGGAAGAAUUUUGACGGUACUUGAGGAGGAAGCCCCGGCUAACUACGUGCCAGCAGCCGCGGUAAUACGUAGGGGGCUAGCGUUAUCCGGAAUUAUUGGGCGUAAAGGGUGCGUAGGCGGUCCUACAAGUCAGAGGUGAAAGGCUACGGCUCAACCGUAGUAAGCCUUUGAAACUGUAGGACUUGAGUGCAGGAGAGGAGAGUGGAAUUCCCAGUGUAGCGGUGAAAUGCGUAGAUAUUGGGAGGAACACCAGUUGCGAAGGCGGCUCUCUGGACUGUAACUGACGCUGAGGCACGAAAGCGUGGGGAGCGAACAGGAUUAGAUACCCUAGUAGU